rnacentral:lncRNA from 1 species
AGAGGGAGGAGGGAGCUCCCCGCGCGUCCCUACCAGGUGCCCGUAGACAUCCGCAGGCUGGAGGUAGAAGGUGGAGUUGAGCAGAUCUUCCAGCUUGCGCGGGACGUCGUUCUCCUGGUAGUACGCCAUCGCCUGCUGCUUCAGCUUCUGCAGGUCCCUAGUGAUCCCGCCUCUGCGGCCGCCGUCUUCAUCUCCCAUGAUGGAGAGUGUCGGCAUGUACGGGUUCUGUGGCUGCAAAGGAAAGAGCAAGCUGAAGUGUGACUCCAGGUGGGAAAUAGCAGCAGCAGCAGCAGGGCUCUACCACUCAAGUUGCAUGCUGGAUAUCACAUGGCUUACAAGGAGUGAAGCUAAGACCUGAGCCCAUGCAGCAUGGGUCAAGUCCACCACUGGCUGUUCUCAGUUAGACCUCCAGAAGACAUCCUGCCUCCUCUUAUAAAUAGCCACCUCACUGACGGGCUGUGUACUGGGGUUUCAGUUUGUGUCUCCUCUGAAUGACAAGCUCCUUGGAACGGGUGACACUCAUUUCCCCUUGUGUUCUCAUGCCCAGCCAAGGACUGAAAUACUGCAGAGACUCCUGCUGUUGGUUGAAUUUAAUAAAGUUCAAGCUAAAUG